rnacentral:rRNA from 1 species
GAUGAACGCUGGCGGCGUGCUUAACACAUGCAAGUCGAACGAUGAAGCCCAGCUUGCUGGGUGGAUUAGUGGCGAACGGGUGAGUAACACGUGAGUAACCUGCCCUUAACUCUGGGAUAAGCCUGGGAAACUGGGUCUAAUACCGGAUAGGAGCGUCCACCGCAUGGUGGGUGUUGGAAAGAUUUAUCGGUUUUGGAUGGACUCGCGGCCUAUCAGCUUGUUGGUGAGGUAAUGGCUCACCAAGGCGACGACGGGUAGCCGGCCUGAGAGGGUGACCGGCCACACUGGGACUGAGACACGGCCCAGACUCCUACGGGAGGCAGCAGUGGGGAAUAUUGCACAAUGGGCGAAAGCCUGAUGCAGCGCCGCCGCGUGAGGGAUGACGGCCUUCGGGUUGUAAACCUCUUUCAGUAGGGAAGAAGCGAAAGUGACGGUACCUGCAGAAGAAGCACCGGCUAACUACGUG